rnacentral:lncRNA from 1 species
UAUGUGUGCUGGCUAUUUAUAAAAAAUUAUAGAUUUAAAUUAAUUAUGACGAAUAUAAGUAAUAUAGUGUAAAUCACAAUAAUUUUUAAAGUUAAAUUUAAUGUUUUGCUUUUGGAAAAAAACACUUUGAAACUUCAAAAUAUAGAGUUUUUUUUGGAAAUGCUCUAAUGAUGAAGCCAAAUUCAAAUAAUAAAAUCAUUAAUUUCCUUUCUCUGUUGUCAACGGAUAAUUAAGUUUUCUUUUAACUAAAACAAAAAAAAAACAACUUAAAUGGCGGCACUGAAAACUUUA